ACUUGUGUGCAAAGAAGGGGAUCCGCCUCCAGCCGCGGAACAAAUGAGAAAGAAGCGCACUCGUGUGGGCGCCCAGCGCCCCCUCCCCGCCCUACCCCGGGCCUCGGCAAUCUGCAACUGCCGCGGGGUCGGGUCCUCCAGCGGCCCCGGGAAUCCCGGAUGGCAGUUCUUCUGGACGGGUCACUUCCCGCCUCGGGGCUGGGAAGGUUUGCCAGAAGCGGGAAAGUCAGGCGAUCUGAGCUCCCUCUUGGCCUCGCCACACCCAGGACCUGUCCAUGCCGCAAUUCCCCCACGGAAACGACCGAAUUGAAACGAGAAUUGUUCUCCGGGUGCAGUGGUUUGAAUGCUUCAGAUUGUUGGAGCCGUAACUUGGGUUUCUGCCCGUCAGUAUCCAAAGGGUGAUAGGUGUCUGAAAUCUGAGCAGAGAAACCUGGAAGUUAAGAAGAACAGCAACAGACUGAAAAUGAUUGGCCUGAUGAAUCUCACGUACCAUGAGCAAAGAAAGCUUUCAAAUCACUUUCCACAUGACCUGAACAAUAUACUACCCAUUGUGACAAGCCCUACGUGAAGUAUGAAGAAAGAAGACCCUUGUCUUCAAAGAAAUUACAAGCUUCUAGAAUAAGAAUUACUAUAUUAUGAAAGCAAAUCCACAGGCCCAUUCUAGGGGGCACUGUUGAUGCCUCACCACACAGGCUGUCCCCCUACCUCUGAGGUCACCAGUGCUGCAGAGGGCAGGUCUCCAUGCUACAGUUUUGCCUCUAAUGGGUUUCUGCCUCUCUACUCGCUCUCUCAGACCCAUGUGGAGAAGUAGAGAUAGUUAUUGCUCAGACAUCUAAUGUGUCUGGAGCUUAGAAGGCAGAACAGGGCUGCAGGUGAGCAGAGAGAUGGCAGGGAAACCAUUGAAUCUGAGUGGAAUGGGAAGAACAAGCCAGACCCUGAAGAAGUGAAACGGAGAGAGAGGAGCCCAGGAUGAGUCUACAAAUGUGAGCAGUCUCCCUGGAAGCCAAAGAGAGCUUGCAAGACGCCUAGUAGAGAUAAAGGCUGAGGGUGUCCUUGUUGAAAAAGCCAGUGAGGUACGAAAAUAGACAAAACUAAUCUCUGUUUCAAAACCUAGGGAAAGUGGUCGGCUUUCAGGGAAUAGGUAGUAACUGAAAGAGGAGGGGGCAAAAGGGCAGCUUCUGUUUCUUUCUCUUUCUGGGUGCUGCUGAGACUUGUGCAUGAAGCUUGUGAGAAGGACUGGGAACGGCAGGGGACGCUGGGGCUCUGACACCUGCUCCAGGGUGACACUUCUGUCUCCAGCUCAGACCUACAUUGUGCUGGCUCUAAAAACCUGAUGUGCAGAAGAAGGAAUCUUCUUUUCAAAGAGAGGGACACUGCUGAUUUCACACUUUUAAUUGCUUAAUUAAUGAAUAUUUACAUUUUAAAAGUCAGUUAAGUGUGUCGGCAUCCAAAGCACUGACUGUGAGGCAGAGAAUGGAUACAUGUAUCAUUUCCAUGGCUUUAUAGAAGGAAAAUCCAGGGAGACUGAGUUUCUUGAGUUCACAAUUCUCAUUCUGAAUACAAACCGUUAGGUCUAUCCAUCCUCAUUGAACAGUUUAGUUAAAAACAUUAUCAACAGUGCUUCAUAUUGAGUGCUCAGCUGGGAGGAGAUUGCAUGAGUUGACAAUAACUCUUUCAGAACCAAAACUCAUAUGACUUUUCAUUCCUGAAAGAACUUGACCUUGUUACCAUUAUUCUAUUAUAGAAUGCUGGCUCUGGGAUAGGGAAGAGUUGAAAACCUUGCUCAUGGAAGAGAAUAAAACUCACCCAAAUCUGUUUGGUUGAGGUAUUCUAACUGGACAUUCUCUGCUCUCUCUGGAGGAAGGAUCAGUAAACAUUUCUUACAGACAGCUAGGAGUUUGGAUUUGCAGAUCAUUCGGUCAUGAGGCAUGUAAACAAAUUGACAUGGCUGCAAUCAAGUAAGACUUUAUUCACAGACGCAGGAGGCUCAGUCUUAGUUUGCCAAAGCCUGUCAUAAGGGUGAGGCUAGGGGCCUGAGUUCUGUCCAGAAUACCUGAAUGUUCUGAAUGGGUGAAUGUUCAUCAGUAUGUAUUCGGUUUUUGUGUCAGAGACAUGUGCUCCAACUACAAUACUCUAGUAUGAAUUUUUAGAAUGAUUGAGAAAGAGUAUCAGUAUUUUUGACCCAGACCAUUUUAUGUGAUAAAUCCAAGUGGAAUAUACCUUAGGAGAACAGGAUGUUAUAUUUCCCAGUGUUGAGCAGAAGUAGGACAACAUUCACUUAAGUGCAUGUAUCUAGAAUAAAGUUAACAAUUGAGUUGCUGGAGAUAGAAAAGAGUAUUUAAGCCUACGUUUUGGUUGGACGGCCAUCCCAGUCUCUGACUUUAAAACGUAAAAGUUUAAAAUGAUUAGUGUGACAAAUUUUCACUUAUUUUAGAUUAACUUUUUGUUUUUAAGUUAAAAUUUAAAACUGAUAUAAAGGAAAAAAUAAGAUUACCUAUAAUAAAUUCAGUCACAGCAUUUUUGUUUCCUUUAAUGAAUCCUUCUAAUCUGAAGUCAAACCUAGUAAUAUAUCACAUGUGAAUUAAAUGCCAUUAGGCAUUUAUGAUGGUAUCUGCCUCCCCUAAACAUAAGGCAAAUCCAUUGAUUCUUCACCUGCAACUUUUUGAUAGAUGGUGAAUUCCUUUUCCAGUGAAUUUCUAGAUUCAAGAAUUUCUCAAGGCCUAUGCCUGGUAAUUUGGCCACCUGAUGCGAAGAACUGACUCAUUUGAAAAGACCCUGAUGCUGGGAAAGAUUGAGGGUGGGAGGAGAAGGGGAUGACAGAGGAUGAGAUGGUUGGAUGGCAUCACCAACUCAAUGGACAUGAAUUUGGGUAAACUCCAGGAGUUGGUGAUGGAUAGGGAGGCCUGACGUGUUGCAGUCCUUGGGGUCGCAAAGAGUCAGACACAACUCAGGGACUGAACUGAACUGAUGCCUGGUAAAACGCAUUCUAAACCUCCAAAUUGCCAGUAUUAAUUGACCUCAGAGGAUUCCUAAGCACACUGCAAAUCCUAUAACAUUUGCUCAUUUCAUAAUGAGAGAAUAGAGAGGGGUGAGACGACAUGAAGAGUCCUCUUCAGCCCCUCUCCAGAGAGUGACAGGCAUCUGAGAAGGCUGACUUGCUGCAUCAGAUCAGAAAUGUCAAAAAGAACCACUACCUCUGUUAAAAAAUAGUAGUAUUUUGUCAGCCACUUGAAAGUGUGAGCUAAACUGAAAAUUUAUUAUAGAGGCCUCAUGGUUUUUUUCUUUUUUCCCCAGAAAGCUCUUUCUUGUCCUCUAAAAUGGUUUCCAUAAGAAGGAAGGGCUCUGGAUGGGGCCAGUGGUCGAAAGAAUAAGGAAUGAGGAGAGGCAGAAAGAAGUGCAGGGUCUUCAUAAUGUCUAUAAAACCUGCUCUGCCUGUUAUCUUACAUCUGCUACAAAAGGUUUCCUGGCUUGUGUUUUCAUCUGGAAGACUGUUAAUUCACAAUAUAUUACAUUUUCCCAUUAUUACAUAAGAGGUUAACUGCUUAUGUUUUUGAUUACCUAGAGAUAAAAAUUUUUUCCAAAGAUGCUAUUAAAAUAAAAUCAAUGUUUUGUUUUACAAUAUGUCACUCAAUUAUCUAAUGACCAGCUCUCCAAGCCCUUCUGUGAUGCUUUACAGCUGAAAAAGAAGACAGUCCCAUUGGAGGGUGAGUCACCAAGUGGAUACUUGCUCCAGAGCAAACGCCUGCACCUGACCCGCUGUGCUGAGUGUCCUCCAAUGACUAAGCUUGGCCAGCAUGAAUAGCUUUAAUAGGCCAUGACCACUUUCUACCCUUCACCUCUUAUAAUCACAGAUUUUUUUUUCCCUUCUUGAAAGCAAAUAUUAUUACAUGGAUUAUCAGAAUCUCAGGUACAUCACUUAAAGGCUAUAAUUACCUUUUGUAAUUUCAAAACAUUAUAGUCAAUUUAAAAUGUUGUACAGAUUCGUAAUAGUUUUUCAAGAGGCAAAAUCCCUUGCAUUUUAAAGUUUAUAUCAGACACUGCAAUGUUAAAGUAUUUGAACUUCUAGUAGGUAGUAAUGGUGUCAGAGAACGAUGGGUAAUUAGGUCUAACCUCUUGUGUGCACAGCCCAAGCAAUUUUUACAGAAUGGGGCACUAUGUAAACUGCCACUGCACAGCAAGGAAUUGUGGCACUGAACUUCCCAUAAAAUCUACCCAAAUAAAUCUUGUAGCCCCUCUCUUUGCAGAUAAACAUCUUGCCUUUGAGAAGAUUCAGUAGAAAAGAACCUUGCUAACCGUUUCUUUAGCAAUAGCAGGAAGAUUUCUUGUCUGAGACUCCAUCAGGUUUUCAUUUCAUUAACUCUCUCCUCCAUCUCCUUUAUUCAUCCAACAAACAUGUACUGAGCACCUCCUAUGAACCAGGUUCUGUUUCAAGCUCUGCAGAUAACGUUAUGAACAAAACACAGGAAAGUCCCUGCCCCGUGGAGCUUCCAUUCUAGUUGAGGGAGACGGACAAGCACAUAAAUCCAUAAGAUCACAGGGUUCAAAAUAGUUUAGAGGCAUCCUCUC